rnacentral:rRNA from 1 species
AGAGUUUGAUCAUGGCUCAGAUUGAACGCUGGCGGAAUGCUUUACACAUGCAAGUCGAGCGGCAGCGCGGGCAACCUGGCGGCGAGCGGCGAACGGGUGAGUAACACAUCGGAACGUAUCCAGUCGUGGGGGAUAGCCCGGCGAAAGCCGGAUUAAUACCGCAUACGACCUGAGGGUGAAAGUGGGGGAUCGCAAGACCUCACGCGAAUGGAGCGGCCGAUGUCCGAUUAGCUAGUUGGUGAGGUAAAGGCUCACCAAGGCGACGAUCGGUAGCUGGUCUGAGAGGAUGAUCAGCCACACUGGGACUGAGACACGGCCCAGACUCCUACGGGAGGCAGCAGUGGGGAAUUUUGGACAAUGGGGGAAACCCUGAUCCAGCCAUUCCGCGUGAGUGAAGAAGGCCUUCGGGUUGUAAAGCUCUUUCGGCAGGAACGAAACGGUUACGGCUAAUACCUGUGACUACUGACGGUACCUGAAGAAGAAGCACCGGCUAACUACGUGCCAGCAGCCGCGGUAAUACGUAGGGUGCGAGCGUUAAUCGGAAUUACUGGGCGUAAAGCGUGCGCAGGCGGUUAUGCAAGCCAGACGUGAAAGCCCCGGGCUUAACCUGGGAAUGGCGUUUGGGACUGCAUGGCUAGAGUACGUCAGAGGGGGGUGGAAUUCCACGUAGCAGUGAAAUGCGUAGAGAUGUGGAGGAACACCGAUGGCGAAGGCAGCCCCCUGGGAUGAUACUGACGCUCAGGCACGAAAGCGUGGGGAGCAAACAGGAUUAGAUACCCUAGUAGUCC